rnacentral:sRNA from 1 species
GGUCAGCGCCGCUUGGUUUUGCAUCGCGCCGCGGACGAAAUAAGUGAUAUUUUCGACCAUUAAUAAUUGUGUUUGUUUUAUUUUUGGUUGAAUCAUUAAUUAAUUAAUAGCUGUAAAUACGAAAGAGCAGCAGAAAAAGCAACAAACAACUGUGUCGCGGCCGUGGCGUGAGUUCAACUUUUUUUCUUGUGUGUGUUUUAUGCUUUUUUUUGUCUUCUGGGGAAUCGUGCAUUUUGAAGAGCGAAAGGAAAAAGCGAAAAGUGUUCAAAAGUGCGUCUGUCGUUAGCGAGAAGGGGGCGGUGUCAGUCAAACGAAGAGUAAAAAGACAACAACAAAAAAUUAGAGUAAAAGCAACGGUAUAACAAAACAAGGAUCGGAGCAGCAGCGGCAGUGAAAAAAAAGAGAAGCAAAGCAGCAGGCAGUCGCACGACGCAGACGACGAUCAGCAGAGAGGAGCGGCAGCGCAACAGGAACCACCUCUCUCUCUCUCUCUCUCACACUCUUGUGCGCUCUUUCUCCCGCUCCCCAGAUACGGAUACAGAUGCCCGAAGUUUGCUUCACAGACAGUGCUUUCCACCAAAGAUCGUACUACUCCAUUGGGGAUCCAUGGGAUAAGCAGUGCAAAAACAUAUUCUAGGGAAAGUAAAUAUGAUAAUAUCCAGCGCUACGAUGGGCCUCGUGGCGCCAAAGCGCCGUUUAUUUGCAACGCAUCUCAGACGCUAAAAGCCAAAGAGAUAGAAUAAUAAUAGUAGGAGCCGCAGUCGCAGCGGUGGGCCAGUGCCAGGGCCAGCACCAGCACCAGCACUCCCCCCCUUCCGAACGCCACCCGCCCCCACCCACAAAUGAGGAGGGGUGGGCAACGACGGGCCAACAACAGGUUGAGGAGCACAUACAUAGGCAAAAGCCCACAACAAAAUCAAAAGCAAAUGCCAGAGCAAAGGCAAAGGCAAAAGCAAAAGCAACAAAAACACGACAAAUAGAAAGAAGCAGACAAAAUAAAACAGAGAAAACCACCAAAACCGCAAAAACAACAAGCAGAGAAGCCACCGAAAGAGAGCGGCAGACCAACCGACCGACCGACCGACCGACCGACCGACAGGACCGACCGGGCAGCCGUGAGAGUAAAAGAGGGAGAGAGUAAUCCAAUCAAAAACCAAACACAAACGCAGCAGAGCAGCAGCAGCCGAGCGGCAGCGAC